GAUGAAGAACGCAGCGAAAUGCGAUAAGUAAUGUGAAUUGCAGAGUUCAGUGAAUCAUCGAAUCUUUGAACGCACAUUGCGCCCCCUGGUAUUCCGGGGGGCAUGCCUGUCCGAGCGUCAUUACAACCCUCAAGCUCAGCUUGGUGUUGGGCCCCGCCGCCCCGGCGGGCCCUAAAGUCAGUGGCGGUGCCGUCCGGCUCCGAGCGUAGUAAUUCUUCUCGCUCUGGAGGUCCGGUCGUGUGCUCGCCAGCAACCCCCAAUUUUUUUCAGGUUGACCUCGGAUCAGGUAGGGAUACCCGCUGAACUUAAGCAUAUCAAUAAGCGGAGGA
rnacentral:misc_RNA from 1 species